UCUGACCAGCCAUGCCGCGUGAGGAUGAAGGUCCUCUGGAUUUGUAAACUUCUUUUAUCUGGGAAGAAA
rnacentral:rRNA from 1 species